CGCUUUCUCGCGGGAGAGCGGGCUGCCGUCACCACCAGCCCCGCCGAAGGCGCAAACUCCCAUAAUCGCUCAGGCCCCGGUACCGCAAGAAAAUU
rnacentral:ncRNA from 1 species